AGCGUGUGACUGGCGGAUUGUGGAGCGUACCACAGGGGAGCACGCAGAGAAGCUGUAGAUUAAAAGCCGGCCGCCUGGGCACAC
rnacentral:ncRNA from 1 species